CAGCCGUAAACUAUGCGCGUUAGGUGUAUCGGUGACCACGAGUCACCGAGGUGCCGAAGGGAAACCGUGAAACGUGCCGCCUGGGAAGUACGGUCGCAAGGCUGAAACUUAAAGGAAUUGGCGGGGGAGCACAACAACGGGUGGAGCCUGCGGUUUAAUUGGACUCAACGCCGGGAAGCUCACCGGAUAGGACAGCAGAAUGAUUGCCGGGCUGAAGACCCUGCAUGACUAGCUGAGAGGAGGUGCAUGGCGUCAGUGACU
rnacentral:rRNA from 1 species